AAGGUUCUAGAGAGCCAAACCCUUGUUCAUCAUAUAUCAUCCAAUUGAAGGAUGAAUCGAGGCUCAAAUUCAAGAAGGAACAUGAAUUAACGAUCACCCAAGCCAAGGGAUCAUAAGGUUAUACAGGUUUAUGGAUUUCUCAUCAUUGAGUGUAUGCGGUCGAAGAUCGAGUUAAGACAUGGAUUGUACGUGUGGAUGCAUGGUCACGUAAUUUAGUAUAAGUAUGUCAGGUCUUAAUUAAAUAUAUAGAAGGGAUUAAAGUAUUUAAGGUGAAAGAAUGAAUAUAUAAUGAAAGAAAUUUGAAAUAUACAUUUUCCGUUGCGUUAAAUUUGGUUAAAAUGUGUUAGGGCGUUACAUUAUCAAGAUUGCAUGGAAAAAGUUAAGUGUAUUCAAGAAAGUUCACGAAAAGCUAUA